CAGCAGCCGCGGGAAUACGGAGGGUGCAAGCGUUAAUCGGAAUUACUGGGCGUAAAGCGCACGCAGGCGGUCUGACAAGUCAGAUGUGAAAUCCCCGGGCUUAACCUGGGAACUGCAUUUGAAACUGUCAGACUGGAGUCUUGUAGAGGGGGGUAGAAUUCCAGGUGUAGCGGUGAAAUGCGUAGAGAUCUGGAGGAAUACCGGUGGCGAAGGCGGCCCCCUGGACAAAGACUGACGCUCAGGUGCGAAAGCGUGGGGAGCAAACAGGAUUAGAUACCCGAGUAGUCCCUGUCUCUUAUAC
rnacentral:rRNA from 1 species